rnacentral:pre_miRNA from 1 species
AAAGACUCAAUUUAUAGGUUUACGUGUCCAACGUUUAACUGUUCGUCUUAUAUAAAUUAUUUUUAUAAUUAGUAUUUUCAUUGUUGUUAGAUGAUAAAAUAUAAAUAAUACUUUAUGUGUGACUUAUCUUUUUAAACUUUUUUAAAUAAGACGGACGGUCAAACGUUGGAUACGGAAAUUCAGG